rnacentral:rRNA from 1 species
UACAGAGGUCUCAAGCGUUGUUCGGAUUUAUUGGGCGUAAAGCGCGUGUAGGCGGCCAGGUAGGUCCGCUGUGAAAACCCGAGGCUCAACCUCUAGACGUCGACCGAAACCAUCUGGCUAGAGUCCGGAAGAGGAGAGUGGAAUUCCUGGUGUAGCGGUGAAAUGCGCAGAUAUCAGGAAGAACACCCGUGGCGAAGGCGGCUCUCUGGGACGGUACUGACGCUGAGACGCGAAAGCGUGGGGAGCGAACAGG